AUGGGUGGCGAUAUCGUGGGUGACGACACAACAAGACUGCACUUAAUUGUUUCGUUUCGUGAUCUGAUAAUUCACCUGUCAACAUUUAUUUCGUGAGAUAUUCUUGAAAACUGACGAAUCGAGAAGACAGCGAUAGUCGCGUCGCAUCAAGAUAUGCUGCGAAUCCUGAUUCAUAUAUAUCACGAGUUCGGUCUGGAUGCUAAACGAAUCAUAUCUAAUACUCGAAGUACAACUUUCAGAAACUUGGCAAACCGCAAACCUUCGCUUCGUUUCCUUAUUUACGCUUCGAAAUGAAUCUGAAUCAAUAAUGUUUUCGAUGAAAUUGGCGGAAGAGUUCGAAACGAAUCGAAAUUGUAACAGAUAACUUAGAAAAUUAGAAAUUAAAAAAUAGAAAAUUAGAAAUUAGAAAGAGAUGCACACGAAUCGCGAGGAAAGAAAUUAGAAGUGACAUUGCUCGGGAACAAACACUUGGUAAAUACGAUCAGAAGCUGGCACGGAAACGCGUGUUUCAAUGGAACAAGAUACACGUAUUACUUCCAUGCAGCUGAGAAUAGUUUAGGCAUCGCACGAUCGAAGAGAAAGGCGUGUUCUAGUUAUGUAUAUCGAUACAAGUUUUUUUCACCGUAUCGUUUCGUUGUUUUUCUAAUCGCGUCAAAUCAAAAACCAUUUAUCCAUUUUUACUUAUUCGCAGGCUCCCGCGAACAAUAGACUUUCGAACAAAGGAACUAAUAAAUGGAUGAUCGUUUGACCGACGAACGACCCCGGUACAUUCGCUUUGUAAGGAAUUAUCAACAAAGGAACGAUAAAAGAACGAAUUGACUCACCGUUUAAUUCUAUUAGAAUAUGCAAUUACAAUGCCUUACUAUGAUUUCAAGCCAUCUUAUAAUGUUAUUGAUUAUAUAUACAUGGGUAUAAAUCUGGUUCAUAUAAAAAUUUCUAAUUUUCCCUUA